rnacentral:sRNA from 1 species
UUGACAACUGUGGACACUGAUGGCCUCUUUCUCUACAGAGCAGGUACAGCCCAGGCAGAGGAAGUGCAAGCUUCUGCCACACUGUCCUCUGCCAACGUGCCUCAAUCCUGAUCUGAAGGGACCAUCUUGAGGGGAGAGGGGGGAAUCCAGCCUCCAUGCUCUAUUCAGUCCUUGGCACCU